rnacentral:rRNA from 1 species
AGAACGAACGCUGGCGGCAUGCCUAACACAUGCAAGUCGAACGCGUGUAGCGAUACACGAGUGGCGGACGGGUGAGUAACGCGUGGGAACCUGCCCUGGAGUGUGGGAUAACCGAGGGAAACUUCGGCUAAUACCGCAUACGACCUGAGGGUGAAAGAUUUAUCGCUCUAGGAGGGGCCCGCGUCGGAUUAGCUAGUUGGUGGGGUAAAGGCCUACCAAGGCAGUGAUCCGUAGCUGGUCUGAGAGGAUGAUCAGCCACACUGGGACUGAGACACGGCCCAGACUCCUACGGGAGGCAGCAGUGGGGAAUAUUGGACAAUGGGGGGCAACCCUGAUCCAGCAAUGCCGCGUGAGUGAUGAAGGCCUUAAGGGUUGUAAAGCUCUUUCGCGCGCGACGAUGAUGACGGUAGCGCGAGAAGAAGCCCCGGACUAACUUCGUGCCAGCCAGCCGC